rnacentral:rRNA from 1 species
UACGUAGGGGGCAAGCGUUGUCCGGAAUUAUUGGGCGUAAAGAGCGUGUAGGCGGCCAGAUAAGUCCGCUGUGAAAUCUCGAGGCUCAACUUCGAGCUGUCGGUGGAAACUAUCUGGCUAGAGUCCGGAAGAGGAGAAUGGAAUUCCUGGUGUAGCGGUGAAAUGCGCAGAUAUCAGGAGGAACACCGGUGGCGAAGGCGGGUCUCUGGGCAACAACGUGACGCUGAGGAGCGAAAGCGUGGGGAGCGAACAGG